AGGGUUUGAUCCUGGCUCAGAACGAACGCUGGCGGCGUGGCUAAGACAUGCAAGUCGAACGGACUUGUUAAUUUAUUAGCGAGUUAGUGGCGAAAGGGUGAGUAAUGGAUAGGUAACGUACCCCGAGCUCUGGGAUAGCCAUCCGAAAGGGUGGGUAAUACCGGAUAACAUCACAGGUCGAUGGGCUUGUGAUCAAAGAUUCAUCGGCGCGGGAGCGGCCUAUCUCCUAUCAGCUAGUUGGUGAGGUAACGGCCCACCAAGGCGAAGACGGGUAGCGGGACUGAGAGGUUGGCCCGCCACAUCGGAACUGAGACACUGUCCGGACCCCCACGGGAGGCUGCAGUAACGAAUCUUGGGCAAUGGGCGAAAGCCUGACCCAGCGACGCCGCGUGCGGGAGGAAGUCCUUCGGGAUGUAAACCGCUGUCAGGGACGUGAAAGUCCACUUCGGUGGAUUGAUCUAACCCAGAGGAAGUCACGGCUAACUCUGUGCCAGCAGCCGCGGUAAGACAGAGGUGGCAAGCGUUGUUCGGUAUCACUGGGCUUAAAGCGUGUGUAGGCGGGAGCGUAAGCAUUUUGUGAAAUCCCUCGGCUCAACCGGGGCAUUGCUUGAUGUACUGCGUUCCUUGAGGCAAGUAGGGGUGCGAGGAACUCUUGGUGGAGCGGUGGAAUGCGUAGAUAUCAAGAGGAACGCCGAUGGUGAAGACAUCGCACUAGGCUUGUCCUGACGCUGAGACACGAAAGCGUGGAGCGAACGGGAUUAGAUACCCCGGUAGUCCACGCCGUAAACGAUGCCUACUAGAUUGUGGCGGUUCUGACGCCGGCACAGUCGAAGCCAAAGUGUUAAGUAGGCCGCCUGGGGAGUACGGUCGCAAGGCUAAAACUCAAAGGAAUUGACGGGGGCUCACACAAGCGGUGGAGCAUGUGGAUUAAUUCGAAGCAACGCGCAGAACCUUACCUGGGUUUGACAUGCUUGGAUGCCUUUCCGGAAACGGAGUAGGCUACCCUUCGGGGUGAAACUUGCACAGGUGCUGCAUGGCUGUCGUCAGCUCGUGUCGUGAGAUGUCGGGUUAAGUCCCUUAACGAGCGAAACCCUUCCGUUAGUUGCCGGCGGGUCAUGCCGGGGACUCUAACGGGACUGCCGGUGUUAAACCGGAGGAAGGUGGGGAUGACGUCAAGUCAUCAUGGCCUUUAUGCCCAGGUCCUCACACGUGCUACAAUGACCGGUACAAAGCGACGCGAGACCGCAAGGUGGAGCCAAUCGAAAAAAACCGGCCCCAGUUCGGAUUGUAGGCUGGCAACUCGCCUGCAUGAAGUUGGAAUCGCUAGUAAUCGCGGAUCAGCUAUGCCGCGGUGAAUGUGUUCCUGAGCCUUGUACACACCGCCCGUCAAGUGAUGGGAGUUGGAAGUACCCGAAGUCGGGUUGCUAACCCCGCAAGGGGAGGCGCCUGCCGACGGUAAGUCCGACGACUGGCACUAAGUCGAACAAGGUA
rnacentral:rRNA from 1 species